GGUUCGAUGGUGUAGUUGGUUAUCACUUCUGUCUAACAGUUGUUGCCCCUGGGUAACCUGUCGCACAGGCGGUCCUCAGUUCGAACCUGGGUCGAAUCA